CAUCUUCUUGUCCCAGCUCUUAAGUUAACUAUACACGAUUACACACAGAGAUCAGCCAUGGCCAAAGAAAGAGAGAACACGUUUACAUCGCCAAGCUCGCUGAACAAGCUGAACGCUACGAAGAAAUGGUUGAUGCUAUGAAAAAAAGUAGCGAAUCUGGACGUAGAACUGACGGUAGAGGAGCGAAAUCUUCUCUCAGUUGGGACAAGAACGUGAUUGGGGCGCGUAGAGCGUCGUGGAGGAUUCUCUCAUCAAUCGAGCAAAAAGAAGAAACAAAGGGAACGAUCAGAAUGUCAAAAUAAUUAAGGGGUAUAGGCAAAAGGUAGAAAGUGAGUUAUCAAAUAUUUGCACCGACAUUAUGACUGUGAUUGAUGAGCAUUUGAUUCCAUCCUGCACGGGCGGUGAAUCCACGGUGUUCUAUUAUAAAAUGAAAGGAGAUAUUAUAGGU